UCCCGGCUGUCUUCAAAAGUAACGUGUAGUUGAAAAGAAAUAUUACCCCGCUUUAUUAAAUCAUCUGUCUCCGGGGGCGUGAUCCGGAGCCUCUUGAAGUCCACAGGACUGUUUGAAUAGAAACCUUUGGUGGAUGGGAAUUCCUCAUGUUGAGCUGUUCGUGAGCAGGUCAGCAGAGAUCCCUUAGCACAGAUGGCGAGAUGUAUAAGAAGAGCUCAUAUCUAGUGCCUGCUCUUGUUCCCUGUGAAAUCCUUCUAAAUUCUGGCCACUGACUACAAUGAGUGCAGAAGUGGGCUUGGCAUCAGAGAUUGCAGUGUUGGACUGUUUUGCUUGGAGAAGACUCGUCCCUCUGUAACAGUGUGGGGCCCCUCCCAUGAGAGACAGUCCUCCAUGAACUUUUUCAACGUGGCUUCUUCCCAUUGACUGCAGUUCUUCAGAAACUACUCUAGCAUGGGACCCCAUGGGGUCACAAGUCCUGACAGCAAACCUGCUCCAUCAUGGGCUCCCUUCUGUCCUUGAGUCCACAGGUCCUGCCACGAACUUGCUCCAGUGUGGGUUUUCCACAGAUUCACAGCUUCCUUCAGGCAUCCACGCACUCCGUCGUGGGGCCCUCCCC